AUUGAACGCUGGCGGAAUGCUUUACACAUGCAAGUCGAACGGCAGCACGGGGGCAGCCCUGGUGGCGAGUGGCGAACGGGUGAGAAUACAUCGGAACGUGCCCGGUCGUGGGGGAUAACGUAGCGAAAGUUACGCUAAUACCGCAUACGAUCUGAGGAUGAAAGCGGGGGACCUUCGGGCCUCGCGCGAUCGGAGCGGCCGAUGUCAGAUUAGGUAGUUGGUGGGGUAAAGGCCUACCAAGCCGACGAUCUGUAGCUGGUCUGAGAGGACGACCAGCCACACUGGGACUGAGACACGGCCCAGACUCCUACGGGAGGCAGCAGUGGGGAAUUUUGGACAAUGGGCGCAAGCCUGAUCCAGCCAUUCCGCGUGCAGGACGAAGGCCCUCGGGUUGUAAACUGCUUUUGUACGGAACGAAAAGGCUCUGGCUAAUACCUGGGGCUCAUGACGGUACCGUAAGAAUAAGCACCGGCUAACUACGUG
rnacentral:rRNA from 1 species